AACGAACGCUGGCGGCAUGCCUAACACAUGCAAGUCGAACGAGACCUUCGGGUCUAGUGGCGCACGGGUGCGUAACGCGUGGGAACCUGCCCUUAGGUUCGGAAUAACUCCCCGAAAGGGGUGCUAAUACCGGAUAAUGUCUUCGGACCAAAGAUUUAUCGCCUUUGGAUGGGCCCGCGUUGGAUUAGCUAGUUGGUAGGGUAAAAGCCUACCAAGGCGACGAUCCAUAGCUGGUCUGAGAGGAUGAUCAGCCACACUGGGACUGAGACACGGCCCAGACUCCUACGGGAAGCAGCAGUGGGGAAUAUUGGACAAUGGGCGAAAGCCUGAUCCAGCAAUGCCGCGUGAGUGAUGAAGGCCUUAGGGUUGUAAAGCGCUUUUACCCGGGAUGAUAAUGACAGUGCCGGGAGAAUAAGCUCCGGCUAGCUCCGUG
rnacentral:rRNA from 1 species